CCCCUCUCAGGGUCGCACCUGGAGGCUUUUCAGUAUUCUACCAGUCUUGACUACAGGAGGGAGAGUCAAGCAAAGGCAUAUCCAUUCCAUUCCUAGCUUGGCCCGUGGCUAGUGAGUGGAAGGCAGUCUGCUACAAGU